UGGCGGACGGGUGAGUAAUGUCUGGGAAACUGCCCGAUGGAGGGGGAUAACUACUGGAAACGGUAGCAAUACCGCAUAACGUCGCAAGACCAAAGAGGGGGACCUUCGGGCCUCUUGCCAUCGGAUGUGCCCAGAUGGGAUUAGCUAGUAGGUGGGGUAACGGCUCACCUAGGCGACGAUCCCUAGCUGGUCUGAGAGGAUGACCAGCCACACUGGAACUGAGACACGGUCCAG
rnacentral:rRNA from 1 species